AGUGAACGCUGGCGGUAGGCCUAACACAUGCAAGUCGAACGGCAGCACAGUAAGAGCUUGCUCUUACGGGUGGCGAGUGGCGGACGGGUGAGGAAUACAUCGGAAUCUACUUUUUCGUGGGGGAUAACGUAGGGAAACUUACGCUAAUACCGCAUACGACCUACGGGUGAAAGCAGGGGAUCUUCGGACCUUGCGCGAUUGAAUGAGCCGAUGUCGGAUUAGCUAGUUGGCGGGGUAAAGGCCCACCAAGGCGACGAUCCGUAGCUGGUCUGAGAGGAUGAUCAGCCACACUGGAACUGAGACACGGUCCAGACUCCUGCGGGAGGCAGCAGUGGGGAAUAUUGGACAAUAGGCGCAAGCCUGAUCCAGCCAUACCGCGUGGGUGAAGAAGGCCUUCGGGUUGUAAAGCCCUUUUGUUGGGAAAGAAAAGCAGCAGGUUAAUACCCCGCUGUUCUGACGGUACCCAAAGAAUAAGCACCGGCUAACUUCGUG
rnacentral:rRNA from 1 species